GCCACUGUAGCUCAGCGGUAGUCUUUUAAAAAAAGACCGUUAAGGAGCGGCGGUUUCGUAAACCGCAGGCCGAGGGUUCGAACCCCUCCAGUGGCU
rnacentral:tRNA from 2 species